CAAGCACUCCCUCCGUUCCACAAUACAUGCCUUCCAUUUGUCAAAAUAUAGAUGUAUCUAGACAUGUUUUAGUAUAUAGGUACAUCCAUUUUUGGACAAAUGGAAGUCAAGUAGAGUAGUAUUUUGGAACGGAGGGAGUAUAUG
rfam:Triticum aestivum genome assembly, contig: Triticum_aestivum_CS42_TGACv1_scaffold_513481_6BS